CAGGAUGAACGCUAGCGGCAGGCCUAAUACACGCAAGACGAACGGUGAUAUUUAUAUCAUAGUGGCGCACGGGUGCGUAACACGUAUGCAACCUACCUAUUAUUGGGGGAUAGCCUUUGGAAACGGAGAUUAAUACCGCAUAAUACGAUUAACUGGCAUCGGUUGAUUGUUAAAGCAUUUGCGAUAAUAGAUGGGCAUGCGUCCAAUUAGUUAGUUGGUGUGGUAAUGGCUCACCAAGACAGUGAUUGGUAGGGGAUCUGAGAGGAUAAUCCCCCACACUGGCACUGAGAUACGGGCCAGACUCCUACGGGAGGCAGCAGUAGGGAAUAUUGGGCAAUGGGCGAAAGCCUGACCCAGCCAUGCCGCGUGCAGGAAGACGGCGUUAUGCGUUGUAAACUGCUUUUUUAUAGGAAGAAGGAUCCCUUGCGAGGGAAGGUGACGGUACUAUAAGAAUAAGCACCGGCUAACUCCGUGCCAGCAGCCGCGGUAAUACGGAGGGUGCAAGCGUUGUCCGGAUUUAUUGCGUUUAAAGGGUGCGUACGCGGUUUAUUAAGUCAGUGGUGAAAGACGGUCGCUCAACGAUUGCAGUG
rnacentral:rRNA from 1 species